UCUCCGUAGGUGAACCUGCGGAGGGAUCAUUACAAGUGACCCCGGUCUAACCACCGGGAUGUCCAUAACCCUUUGUUGUCCGACUCUGUUGCCUCCGGGGCGACCCUGCCUUCGGGCGGGGGCUCCGGGUGGACACUUCAAACUCUUGCGUAACUUUGCAGUCUGAGUAAACUUAGUUAAUAAAUUAAAACUUUUAACAACGGAUCUCUUGGUUCUG
rnacentral:misc_RNA from 1 species